rnacentral:rRNA from 1 species
CCCUUAGAUGUUCUGGGCCGCACGCGCACUACACUGAUGCAUUCAACAAGCCUAGCCUUGACCGAGAGGUCCGGGUAAUCUUUGAAACUGCAUCGUGAUGGGGCUAGAUUAUUGCAAUUAUUAAUCUUCAACGAGGAAUGCCUAGUAAGCGUGAUUCAUCAAAUCGCGUUGAUUACGUCCCUGCCCUUUGUACACACCGCCCGUCGCUCCUACCGAUUGAAUGUGUUGGUGAGGAGCUCGGAUUGGCAGCAGUUGGUGGUUCGCCACCGGCUAUUGCUGAGAAGUCCUCCAAACCGCCCCAUUUAGAGGAAGGAGAAGUCGUAACA